UCCUUGGUGGUCAAAUGGUUAAGAGUCCAGUUUCCAAAGCAGGGGAUGUGGGUUCAAUCCCUGUUCCAGGAA
rnacentral:tRNA from 1 species